AUUGAACGCUAGCGGGAUCCUUUACACAUGCAAGUCGAACGGAGUGGCGGACGGGUGAGUAAUAUACCGGAACGUGCCCAGUUGCGGGGGAUAUCUACCCGAAAGAGUGGCUAAUACCGCACACUAUUGGAGCAGCCGAUAUCGGAUUAGCUGGUUGGUGCGGUAACGGCUCACCAAGGCAACGAUCCGUAGCUGGUUUGAGAGGACGACCAGCCACACUGGGACGGAGACACGGCCCAGACUCCUACGGGAGGCAGCAGUGGGGAAUUUUUGACCAUGGGGGAAACCCUGAUCCAGCCAGCCCGCGUGUAUGAUGAAGGCCUUCGGGUUGUAAAGUACUUUUGGCAGAGAAGCGGUAUCUGCAGAAUAAGCACCGGCUAACUACGUGCCAGCAGCCGCGGUAAUUC
rnacentral:rRNA from 1 species